GUGAAGUGCAUUAAAAUCAUCAUCCUGAGGGCAUGAGAUCUUUCCUUCCAUUUUGUUGAGUUCGUUCACAGGUGGUCCAGUUGAGCAGUAUAUAAGUAUAUGCUUCUUAUUUAUUUUACAGCUCAAGAAAGACUUGUAUUUAUAUAGUGCUUUCUGUGAUCUUAGGACAUUCUGAAGUGCUUUAUAGCCAACGAAAUACAUUUAAAAUGCAUUUACUGAUGUAGUGUAGGAAACACAGGAGCCAAUUUCCAUACAUCAAUGGCCCACAAACAACAAGAACAUCUAUUAUAAAUCUUGAUUAAAAGAUAAAUAUUAGCCAGGGCACUGGAGGAAUCUUCCCUGCUUUUCAGAAUAACACAAAAGGAUCUUUUGCACCACCUGAGAGGGCAAGUGGGACUGUGUUUUUAACAUUUCAUCGGAAAGCUGUUACCUCAACAGGGUAGUACUCUUUUAGGUACUGUACUUGGCUGCCAGCCUAGAUUUAUGUGUUCAUAUCUCUGGUAUGGAGCUUGAAUCUACAACGUUCUAACUUGUGCAAGAGUGCUACCUACUGAGCUAUGGCAGGCACUACAGAAGUAGGGCAUUGCUGCCCACUGUGUUUGCCAUAUCCCCACACCCUUUCAAAUUUUCCUUUCACAAAUAUCCAAUUUCUGGGGGCCCGUUACUCAUUUGGCUAGAUAGCUAGUGUGUGAUUCAGAAUAGCAUCAACAGAGCAGGUUCAAUUCCUGUUCUGACUGAGGUAGAUUUGGGACCUGCCUGCUUGCCCUGCUCCUGAGAAUGGAAGGCAAUGUCAAAGCCCCGCUGACAAAAGCUGACAGGAAAAAUGGCUCAGGAUGAAACAACAGCAGCCAAGGACUUGCCUUCAGGCAGAGCAAUAAGAGAGUGGAAUACAAUUGCUAUUUAAAAGAGAUUAUGGAUUCUAUACCACUACCGUUUCUAGUAGAGCAUGCCAUAUCUUAAUGUUCUGCUUGAAGAAAUUUCCCUCAUCUCCCUUUUGAUGAUGAUGAUAAAUUUAUGCUGUCUAGUUGCAGACUCAUCGGUGGAAACCAUAUCAAAGCUUUUUAUAAUUAUAUGCUGUCUAUUUUAUUAAUUUACUAAAGGAAAUAAAAGCUUACAAAAAAAAUGUAGUUACAUUUCUCUUAACUGUUACCACAUUGAAUAUAUGGAUCUUUAUAGGAUUGAGGGCAUCAAUUAUAGUGAUAUAUUUAAAGGGGGAUUGCCAUCCACUUUAGAGCAGUUGUUCCAGUCACUGAACUGGGAACUAAAGAUCCUAUGACAUUAUUCAAGUGUUAAGUGCUGAGUGUUAAACCUGCUGAUUGGCAACAAUCACUAUCAAGAGGUACAAUUCAAACAUUUCAACUGGUCAUUCACCUCAUCGAUGUUUGAGACGUUGUGUCAAAAUGGUAACCCUGUUCAUUUUCGUAAAAAUGGUCACUGCUCUUCAAAGCAUUUGAUUGUUGAGCUUCUGGAGGUGUAUGAGAUAUGUGGUAUCAGAAUGCAAGUAAUGCUCCAGUGCACCAUGUUACCAUGCUGACCUCAUCAAGAGACUUGUCAGGAGGAGUUCCUUAGUGCCGGCGUGUGAAUAUGGUUUUAAGAUGCUUGUUUGAAAUUAAUUAAUGGACAAUGACUACCUGUUGAUGUCUCAGAAGCAAGGAGAGACAUUUAGUGACUUAAGUGCACCAUGUCGCUAUCAUUGAGACUGGUUGGGGUGAGUUUCUCAGUCUCAUCGUGUGAGGAUACUUGUUUGAAAUGAAGAAUCAAGGGAUGAUAAUGGAACCCAUUAAUAUCGAAGGAUGUAGGAACAGCAACUUGAGUGGAUCCUGCUGACUACAUUGAGACUGUAGGGAGGAGUUGCUUAGAGCCACUGUCUGAAAAUGACUGUUUGAAAUGAAAAGUUAAUGGACAAUGAUGGAAUCCAUUGGAGCCAAAGGAGCGAAUGUGAGACACACUGACUUGAGUGGAUCCUGCUGACUACAUUGAGACUGUAAGGUGGAAUUGCUUAGAGCCACAGUCUGAAGAUGAAGAUGCUUGUUUGAAAUGAAAAAAUUAAUGAACGAUGAUGGAACCCAUUGGAGCCAAAGGAGCGAAUGUGAGAGACAGAUACACUGACUUGAGUGGAUCCCACUGACUACAUUGAGACUGUAGGGAGGAUUUGCUUAGACCCACUGCCUGAAGAUGAAGAUGCUUGUUUGAAAUGAAAAAUUAUUGGACAAUGAUGGAAUCCGUUGGAGCCAAAGGAGCGAAUGUGAAACGCAGACACACUGACCCUAGGUUCUCGGGAUCACGGAAUCAACCAUUUGAAAGCAAGACCGUCGCUCAGAAUUCAGAUGCAGCAUUCUAUCCCAAUUCCAGAGUCUUUAGAAGAGGCUUCCAGCCCCGUUAUAGAGCAGGAAUCCAUCCAAGUGGUGGUUUAGUCACAUGCUGAGAGGAAUGUUCUGCAAAAGAAGCUCUGCCAUGCCUCUGCAGGGUAUGCCUGACCUCGAAUUCUUGAAGUAAAACAUGCCUGUACCACACCCUCUGAUCUUCUAAAUCCUACUGGGUCCAAAUAUCCACCAUCUCCUGACCUUCCCAAUUCUUUGUGUCCCACUCUAGCCUUAUGUUUAAGCCAUGUGAAAAAGUAUUAAUUGCUAUAUUGUUGUAUAUUUAAAAUAAAUGUAAAUGUUAAACUCA